rnacentral:rRNA from 1 species
AUUGAACGCUGGCGGCAGGCCUAACACAUGCAAGUCGAGCGAGCGGCGGUCGGGUGAGUAAUGUUUGGGAAACUGCCCGUUGGAGGGGGAUAACUACUGGAAACGGUAGCUAAUACCGCAUACCAUUGGAUGUGCCCAGAUGGGAUUAGCUUGUAGGUGGGGUAACGGCUCACCGAGGCGACGAUCCCUAGCUGGUCCGGGAGGAUGACCAGCCACACUGGAACUGAGACACGGUCCAGACUCCUACGGGAGGCAGCAGUGGGGAAUAUUGCACAAUGGGCGCAAGCCUGAUGCAGCCAUGCCGGGUGUAUGAAGAAGGCCUUCGGGUUGUAAAGUACUUUCAGCGGGGAGGCGUUACCCGCAGAAGAAGCACCGGCUAACUCCGUGCCAGCAGCCGCGGUAAUUC